UACGGAGGAUCCGAGCGUUAUCCGGAUUUAUUGGGUUUAAAGGGAGCGUAGGUGGAUUGUUAAGUCAGUUGUGAAAGUUUGCGGCUCAACCGUAAAAUUGCAGUUGAAACUGGCAGUCUUGAGUACAGUAGAGGUGGGCGGAAUUCGUGGUGUAGCGGUGAAAUGCUUAGAUAUCACGAAGAACUCCGAUUGCGAAGGCAGCUCACUGGACUGCAACUGACACUGAGGCUCGGAAGUGUGGGUAUCAAACAGG
rnacentral:rRNA from 1 species